CUUCCUGUCUCCGCUGGUCCGUCCUGCGAGUGCGUCCCCCCGCCGGCGGCGAACGCGUCCUGGGUUCCGCGGGUGGCGGCGCACCGGGUGGCGCACGCAGGACGGCGCGCAAGCGCCCGGGUUCGAGCCCCGGCCCCCACCUUCGGGGUGGGGCAGCAGGUGAAGCCGGGCAGCAGGAGUGAACCACUGGCUUCUGGUGAGAACAGGGUUUGAACCUGAAGUUGAGUCCACAUGCAGAGCCACUACACCAGGUCAGCAUCUGCAGACGUCCACUUCUGUGGGCUUCCUCCUGGGCUC